rnacentral:rRNA from 1 species
CGGGACACGUGGUAUCCUGUCUGAAUAUGGGGGGACCAUCCUCCAAGGCUAAAUACUCCUGACUGACCGAUAGUGAACCAGUACCGUGAGGGAAAGGCGAAAAGAACCCCGGCGAGGGGAGUGAAAAAGAACCUGAAACCGUGUACGUACAAGCAGUGGGAGCACAGAGCAAUCUGUGUGACUGCGUACCUUUUGUAUAAUGGGUCAGCGACUUAUAUUCUGUAGCAAGGUUAACCGAAUAGGGGAGCCGAAGGGAAACCGAGUCUUAACUGGGCGUUAAGUUGCAGGGUAUAGA